rnacentral:rRNA from 1 species
AUGGCCGACAAACAUAGUGAAUUACACCACCACUUCUCUGCAACCAUUGGCACAACAAAGACUAGGCAGAGCUCUCUCAACUGGAACUUGCUUGAUCUGCCUCGACUCAGCCUCUCCUCUCUGGACAAACAAUUCUCCGGCGAGGAGAUCAAGAAAGCUGUCUUCACCCUUCCUUCAGGCAAAGCUCCGGACUCUGAUGGAUACACCGGAGAUUUCUUCAAGAAAUGUUGGGAUGUGAUCAAGCAUGAUGUAUCUGCAGUACUACACCAAUUCUUCUCCCUCUGCGGCAAGCACCUCCACCUGCUCAACUCUGCCUACAUAACAUUGCUACCUAAAUCCAAUGAGGCCAUCAAAGUAAAAGAUUUUCAGCCGAUAAGCUUGAUACACUCAGUGGGAAAGAUCGUCGGAAAACUGCUCUCCAUCCGCCUGGCCCCAUUCCUGCCACUGCUAAUUCCCUCCUCACAAAGCGCCUUCGUCAAGUCUAGAAGCAUCCAUGAAAACUUCCUCUUCGUCAAAAACACAAUCCGUAGCCUCCAACAACACAAGGACCAGGCUCUGCUGCUCAAGUUGGACAUUGCUGGAGCUUUUGACAAUGUUUCUUGGUCCUUUCUGAUGGAGCUCUUCUCCCAUAUGGGUUUUGGCCACAAAUGGUGUGACAUGAUCUCUCUGUUUGGAGCACUGCAUCGCAAAUGGCAAGCUUGGUCCACCUUUCAUCCACCGCAAAGGCAUGCGUUAGGGAGAUACACUCUCUCCCAUGAUCUUCACCCUUGCAAUUUCCCCACUUCACUGGCUAUUUGCAAAGGCUGCAAAUGCUUAGCUACUCACUUCGAUUCGCUUGCCACCCUCGCAUCUAAGGGUGAGCCUUUAUGUCGAUGA